UACGUAGGGUGCAAGCGUUGUCCGGAAUUAUUGGGCGUAAAGAGCUCGUAGGCGGUCUGUCGCGUCUGGUGUGAAAACUCGGGGCUUAACCCCGGGCCUGCAUCGGGUACGGGCAGACUAGAGUGCGGUAGGGGAGACUGGAAUUCCUGGUGUAGCGGUGAAAUGCGCAGAUAUCAGGAGGAACACCGGUGGCGAAGGCGGGUCUCUGGGCCGUAACUGACGCUGAGGAGCGAAAGCAUGGGGAGCGAACAGG
rnacentral:rRNA from 1 species